AGCGAACGCCUUGGCGGCAGGCCUAACACAUGCAAGUCGAGCGCUCAUCUUCGGAUGGGAGCGGCGCACGGUUGUGAGUAACACGUGGGAACCUACCUUGAAGUAUGGAAUAACUGAGGGAAACUUCAGCUAACGUACCGUAUACGCCCUACGGGGGAAAGAUUUAUCGCUUCAAGACGGGCCCGCGUUGGAUUAUUGCUAGUUGGUGAGGUAAUGGCUCACCAAGGCGACGAUCCAUAGCUGAUUUGAGAGAAUGACCUCAGCCACACUGGGACUGAGACACGGCCCAGACUCCUACGGGAGGCAGCAGUGGGGAAUAAUUUGGACAAUGGGCGCAAGCCUGAUCCAGCCAUGCCGCGUGAGUGAUGAAGGCCUUCGGGUCAUGUAAAGCUCUUUCAGAUGGGACGAUGAUGACGGUACCAUCAGAAGAAGCCCCGGCUAACAAUUCGUGCCAGCAGCCGCGGUAAUACGAAGGGGGCUAGCGUUGUUCGGAAUUACUGGGCGUUAAAAGCGCGCGUAGGCGGCUUUGUCAGUCAGGGGUGAAAUCCCGGGGCUUAACCUCGGAACCGUGCCUUUGAUACUGCAAGGCUUGAGUCUGUGAGAGGAUGGUGGAAUACCCAGUGUAGAGGCGUGAAAUUCGU
rnacentral:rRNA from 1 species